UGAUUAGGGUGUGAUGUUCGUUAUCAUACUGAUUACAUCUUAUCGAUCGAUUGGCGGGCUUUAUUUAUUUAUGUGCUUUAUAUAUAUGUAAUGGGUGCCAGCCUGAUUGGUGUAGCACUAACACCAAACGAAAUAAGGAUAGCAGGCAGUGGCUUCAAACCUGAGAGUUCAAACAGUACUUGAGGAGGAGAGCCAACGUGCGAGGCCAGCGGCCAUGGAGACGUAGUCGGAAUCCAAAAAAUAUGAUGAACAAGAUUGAUAUUAUGUAGUUCGAUAAUAAAUGUUACAACUGUG